AGCGAACGCUGGCGGCAGGCCUAACACAUGCAAGUCGAACGAAGCCUUCGGGCUUAGUGGCGGACGGGUGAGUAACACGUGGGAACGUACCUUUUGGUUCGGAAUAACGCAGAGAAAUUUGCGCUAAUACCGAAUGAGCCCUUAGGGGGAAAGAUUUAUCGCCGAAAGAUCGGCCCGCGUUGGAUUAGGUAGUUGGUGUGGUAAAGGCGCACCAAGCCUACGAUCCAUAGCUGGUCUGAGAGGAUGAUCAGCCACACUGGGACUGAGACACGGCCCAGACUCCUCCGGGAGGCAGCAGUGGGGAAUCUUGCGCAAUGGGCGAAAGCCUGACGCAGCCAUGCCGCGUGAAUAAUGAAGGUCUUAGGAUUGUAAAAUUCUUUUACCAGGGACGAUAAUGACGGUACCUGGAGAAAAAGCCCCGGCUAACUUCGUGCCAGCCGCCGCAGUAACAC
rnacentral:rRNA from 1 species